UACGUAGGGGGCUAGCGUUGUCCGGAAUCAUUGGGCGUAAAGCGCGUGUAGGCGGUCCGGUAAGUCCGCUGUGAAAGUCCAGGGCUCAACCCUGGGAUGCCGGUCGAUACUGCCGGACUAGAGUUCGGAAGAGGCGAGUGGAAUUCCCGGUGUAGCGGUGAAAUGCGCAGAUAUCGGGAGGAACACCAGUGGCGAAGGCGACUACCUGGCCUGUUUCUUGACGCUGAGGCGCGAAAGCUAGGGGAGCAAACGGG
rnacentral:rRNA from 1 species